rnacentral:rRNA from 1 species
AGAGUUUGAUCCUGGCUCAGGAUGAACGCUAGCUACAGGCUUAACACAUGCAAGUCGAGGGGGAACGAUAUUGGAAGCUUGCUUCCGAUAGGCGUCGACCGGCGCACGGGUGAGUAACGCGUAUCCAACCUGCCCACCACUUGGGGAUAACCUUGCGAAAGUAAGACUAAUACCCAAUGAUAUCUCUAGAAGACAUCUGAAAGAGAUUAAAGAUUUAUCGGUGAUGGAUGGGGAUGCGUCUGAUUAGCUUGUUGGCGGGGUAACGGCCACCAAGGCUACGAUCAGUAGGGGUUCUGAGAGGAACGGUCCCCACAUUGGAACUGAGACACGGUCCAAACUCCUACGGGAGCA